GGAAGCUGGGUUGACCUGAGAUGUUAGGGAGGCUGUGGCUGCAGACAGGUUGUUGGGAGAAGCCUCACGACUCGCACUGUUUGGGGAGGAAUUUGAUGAAACUGGAAGGAAAAGGUGGGACAUGUCCAUGUGGGUCUCCAUAGAAGGUCCGGCCAGACCAGAGCGGCUCAUCGCCUGGAUCACAAACAUCAGAGAAACAAAUCUUCACUUUCCACAUGAUGCUCCACCUUGGUGACUGGAGGGACUCUGGGAGAGCAGGAAGGGGGACGGAGACGACAGGUGGGAAGGCGGCAUCAGAACCAGCUGCUGCAUGGUGUGGAGAGA